ensembl:lncRNA
CACGUGUGUACAUAUACAUAUAUAUAUAUAUGUAUAUAUAUAUAAAUGUACAUAUAUAAAUGUACAUAUAUAAAUGUACAUAUANNNNNNNNNNCAUAUAUAAAUGUACAUAUAUAAAUGUACAUAUAUAAAUGUACAUAUUUAAAUGUGUUAAUACUGUAAUUCCUUUCAUGUGUACUUAAAUGCUUGCAAUUAUCAUAACGGGUAUAUUACAAAAGUUAAUUAUAUUUUUGAAUAAUAUUUUAAAAUUUAAUAAAAAAAAAUAUAUACAUACGUAAAAUAUAUAAAUAUAUACGUUUUUUUUUUUUUUUUUUUUUUUUUUUUNNNNNNNNNNUUUUUUUUUUUUUUUUUCUUAUAUAUAUACAUAUAUAUAUAAUAUCUUAAAUUAAAAAUGGUAUUAUUAUAUAUUUUGUAUUCAUUAGUUUUGUUUGCAGUUGCUUAUACGAAAGAAAAUAUAAACAACCAGGCAGUGAACAGUCCUGUGCUUCAAUAUGGAUUUAUAAAUAAUGAACACUAUAAGCAUUAUUUACCUUCGAAGGAUUCUAAUAUACUAAAAAAUACGGAUUUAAUAACUAUAUCGUGUCAAAAGGGGUAUACAGUGGCAGUUAAAAAAGCAAUUAUAAUAGACUUGAAUGAAGAAGAAAAUGAUUAUACACAACUGAUUAAAGAAAUAUGUUCAAAGAAAGCACAGUGCAAGAUCGAUGUUAGACAAUUCAAAAUUAAAAUUAAACACAAUGCUAUUGACGCUACCUCCGAACUAAUACUAGACUAUAUCUGUAUAAGUUCCGAGAAUAACCUAUAUGAUGGAAGGAGCUUUCAUCAAGGAAUUACUCAAAAAUAUUUAACAGUAAGAGACCGAACAAUAGCAUGUGUUCAAAAUAGUGAGAAUGUCGAAAAGAUGUUAUCAAUUUCAAAGGCUUUGGAAAAGUGUUCCAAAAAUAAUUGCACUUACGUUGUAUGGAAUGCUGAAGAAAAAAAAGCAGUCAUUUGUUAUGAAAAUAAUUCACAUGAUUUGAUUGAAAAGAAGAAUAAUAUAACAUAUAUUAAUCCUACAUUUUUUUAUACUUAUGGAUUUGCAACUUUUCUGAAUUACAUGUCUAUAUGUGAAAACGUUGUAAAAAGCGUGCCCUACAAUUUAAGUAUGGGAAAAUCAGUUGACGUAUGUUCUCACUUGGAUUGUGCUUACUUUACAAAAAGUUACGCAGGGUCUAUAAGAUCAUUAAAUAACAAUAACAGUGGAAAAUCUUGGUUUUGCAAAGGGUACUUUUUUAAAAAAGGGAAACACAAAUUCAUACAUGCGUACAUCCCUCCCUUUAUACAUAUAUAUAUAUAUAUACAUUUUUUUUUAUAUAGUUUCCCAACUAUUGUGCCAAUGGAUGGAUUUAUCACGUCUGUGAAUUUAAGAAAAUUCAAUUAAAAGAAACUUUCUUAUUAUUUUUUUUAUUAUUUUUUAUUUUAUUUUAUUCUGUUUUUUUUUUUUUUUUUGUAUUUGUCUUUGUGUCAUGUUGUGUUUUUGUCUACCGAAUAAAUAAUUUUUUUAAAAAUUAUUUACA